rnacentral:rRNA from 1 species
AUUGAACGCUGGCGGCAUGCCUUACACAUGCAAGUCGAACGGUAACAGGUCUUCGGAUGCUGACGAGUGGCGAACGGGUGAGUAAUACAUCGGAACGUGCCCGAGAGUGGGGGAUAACGAAGCGAAAGCUUUGCUAAUACCGCAUACGAUCUCAGGAUGAAAGCAGGGGACCGCAAGGCCUUGCGCUCUCGGAGCGGCCGAUGGCAGAUUAGGUAGUUGGUGGGAUAAAAGCUUACCAAGCCGACGAUCUGUAGCUGGUCUGGAAGGACGACCAGCCACACUGGGACUGAGACACGGCCCAGACUCCUACGGGAGGCAGCAGUGGGGAAUUUUGGGCAAUGGGCGCAAGCCUGAUCCAGCCAUGCCGCGUGCAGGAUGAAGGCCUUCGGGUUGUAAACUGCUUUUGUACGGAACGAAAAGACUCCUUCUAAUAAAGGGGGUCCAUGACGGUACCGUAAGAAUAAGCACCGGCUAACUACGUGCCAGCCGCCGCCGUAAGAC